rnacentral:rRNA from 1 species
AUGAACGCUGGCGGCGUGCCUAAUACAUGCAAGUCGAGCGAACAGAUAAGGAGCUUGCUCCUUUGACGUUAGCGGCGGACGGGUGAGUAACACGUGGGUAACCUACCUAUAAGACUGGAAUAACUCCGGGAAACCGGGGCUAAUGCAGGAUAACAUGUUGAACCGCAUGGUUCUACAGUGAAAGGCGGCUUUGCUGUCACUUAUAGAUGGACCCGCGCCGUAUUAGCUAGUUGGUGAGGUAACGGCUCACCAAGGCAACGAUACGUAGCCGGCCUGAGAGGGUGAUCGGCCACACUGGAACUGAGACACGGUCCAGACUCCUACGGGAGGCAGCAGUAGGGAAUCUUCCGCAAUGGGCGAAAGCCUGACGGAGCAACGCCGCGUGAGUGAUGAAGGUCUUCGGAUCGUAAAACUCUGUUAUUAGGGAAGAACAAAUGCGUAAGUAACUGUGCGCGUCUUGACGGUACCUAAUCAGAAAGCCACGGCUAACUACGUG